CCUACGGGUGGCAGCAGUGAGGAAUAUUGGUCAAUGGACGCAAGUCUGAACCAGCCAUGCCGCGUGCCGGAUGACGGCUCUAUGAGUUGUAAACCGCUUUUGUCCGAGGGUAAACGCAGCUACGCGUAUCUGUCUGAAAGUAUCGUACAGAAAAGGAUUGGCUAACUCCGUGCCAGCAGCCGCGGUAAUACGGAGGGUUCAAAGGUUAUCCGGAUUUAUUGGGGUUAAAGGGUGCGCAGGCGGAAGAUCAAGUCAGCGGUAAAAUUGAGAGGCUCAACCUCUUCGAGCCGUUGAAACUGGUUUUCUUGAGUGAGUGAGAAGUAUGCGGAAUGCGUGGUGUAGCGGUGAAAUGCAUAGAUAUCACGCAGAACUCCGAUUGCGAAGGCAGCAUACCGGCGCUCAACUGACGCUCAGGCACGAAAGUGUGGGUAUCGAACAGGAUUAGAUACCCUGGUAGUC
rnacentral:rRNA from 1 species